rnacentral:lncRNA from 1 species
GAAUGAGUGAUCCUGACUGGAUGGUCCUCGGGCGUCUGUCAUGCUCAGACUCCAGUAAGUAAACUCACACCUGUAUGAGAAAACUUUAACCAACACUAUGUGAGAUAUUAACACUCCCUAUUAGACACAUGCAAGACAUGAUUGAAGCUAUUUUUGCAAAAUGGCUUAUGUGACCAAAAGGUGGCUAGAAAUGCAACAUUUGGCUAAGACCUCGCAAAGCCAAGAAUCUAAGAUUUACUAGGAAGAUCAAACCCUAUGUGGGUUGCUAACGUAUCUCGCCCCGAGAGACGAGAAUCGGGUUCGCGUAGUUCGGGCAGAUUGGAUACGGGUGAGAAUAAAAAAAACAACUAAUUUAAAGAAAAAUAUAUAUUUUUGUCUUUUUUGAAAAAACAUGUAAACUAUUUUUGGAUUUUCUUUUCCCUUUUUUUUUUGAUUUUCUGAUUUUCGGAAAAUGAUGAAAAAGUGCAAAAUCUUUUUUUUUUUUUGAAUUUUCAAUCUCUUUUUUUCUUUACAAAAAUGUGACAGAAAACAUAAUUGGGCGCUACUCGCUUUAUCCUCACAUUUCACCCUCUCUUUUUUCCUUUUGUUUCUUUUUUCAUUCGCUCUCAAUUAUCAUUGGUCUGCCAAAUGACCCUUUUACCCUUGAAAAAUACAACAUGUAGCGCAUAGGAUGCAUCAGGAUGGUCUAUUAUUUUGGAUACCCCUGUCCUAGAUGGAUCCAACUCCUAUGUUGAGUCCCCUAAGUCAAAUGCACAUGAUGCAAACAAACGUUCCUACUAGGGAUCCGACAUGAGGCUGUAUUUUCUAGGUUUAAAACCUGGGGUUGUGUUCUAGACCUGGCUUACCCGAGCGGAUAACUCGAGCCGAAGAGGGGGCAAUGUACCAGGAGCGCUAAAGUCUACCCGGCCUUGUUGCUGGCUCAGCCUCGUUCUAUUUGGGAUAACUUUUAUAGAAAAGCGGGCCACGUAAACGUGUGCACUAUUUUCAGAAGACUCAGAGGGGUGCCAUAAGAAGACAAUUAUAUACAAUUCAAAUAAUAUCAAAGCGAUAAAUAGGCAGCAGUUAGCACAAAAGGUUCACAGAAUACAGUAAUAUUAACAAUAAAUGAAGUCAAGUAAAAUCAUAUUAACAAGCUCGAAUUCUUGAACCCUGAACCAGAAGUUCGGGGUUCUUAUCCCUAGCAGAGUCGUCAGAGCUAUCACACCUCCUUUUUACUAACCCUCGGAAGGAAGUAUGGGAGUUUUUUUCAAUUUAAGGGACAAUCAAAACGGGAUUAUUUAUUGAAGAUCAGAGUCACCACCUGGGAUAAUUUAUGGUGUCCCAAGUCACCGGUUUAAAAUCCCGAAUCGAGGAAGUUGACUCUCAAUUAUGGUCUACGAACACAAAAAUUCGGGUAAGGAAUCUGUUAACCUGGGAGAAGGUGUUAGGCACUCCCGAGUUUCGUGGUUCUAUCACGGUCGCUUUGAUCAUAAUUGGCUUAUUAAAAUUGUUUCAUUACUGAUUUUAGAACCAAUGUGCAUUCCCUCCUUUAAUUAAGAAAUUAUUUUGAAAUGGGUCACGCAUACGUGUACCCGUGUAUUUGGUGGGUCAAAAAUCAUGUCACACGAACGUGUCCACAAUUAAUAACGCUUUAUUAUUAUUAAGAAAAGUUCGAUCGAAGUUGCGCGAACGCAUACUCCAGUUUUGUUUUUUAGAAAUCGUAAUCAUAUCACGCAAACGUGUCCACAAUCACAAUGAUAUGUUAAAUGGGCCUAAUGCAACUACGAGCAUUUAUUAUUUUUAUAUCUAAGUCAUAAUAUUAAUACGAGGGCCAUGAGUGAUUAAAUUGUGGAUGGCACACCUCGGACUAUAUAAACUAAAUUAAAUUAGUUUUCCAUUAAUAACAAUUUUAUUAUUAAGAAACGUUUGAUCGAAGUUGCGCGAACGCAUACUCUGAAUUGGUUUUUUAGAAUCGUAAUUAUGUUACGCGAACGUAUACACAAUCACGAUGGUAGAUUAAAAGCGGGUCUAAAAGCAUACUAACAUAUUCAUAAAUUAAUUUAUCCUAUGGUUUAGGACUAACUUUGUAUCCACGCUAUUCAACUGACUUAAGAAAACUUCCUAUUUUCACAAAAUACACAAUUAAUACACCUUCUAAAAGAGAAAUCCUACAGCUAAAUCAGAACAGACAAUCGAAGAAAAACACUACUCUUCACAUAAGUUACCGAAGAAACAAAACACAUAGUCAACAACAUGUAAUCAGAACAAAACCAAGAUGAAAGAAAGUGAAUCUUACAUUGAAUCUUCACAUAGAAAAAAGAACGAAAUUAAUCACCGGAUCAAAAUGGAAACCUCGACGGAACUACGAUCCAAACCUCGAAACUCGCAGGAACCGCGACAAAAUUCAAAAAUUGACCUCGAAUCGGCACUUCGGAUUUACAAACGGAUAGCUCGAAACCCAAACUCGAAUUUGGACAAACAUGCUUCGAAUAUUUUCAUAUAUGGGACUGUUCUUGUCCCUUCUCACGUUCUAUCACUGUUUUCAUCCCCAUCCCUUCCUUUUCUAUAUCCUCUCCUUUUCUGGUUUUGUGUAUAUGUGUGUGUUGUGGUUGUUUUCUGGUGGAACUGGCUAGAGGAAACGGAAGAAGGCAUGUACAAGGGUGGUCAUUUUUUACGUGAGGGACGACUGAAGCUACUCGAUGAAUAGGGGAGUUCUUCUGUGGUUGUUGUUGUUCAAGAAGAAACCAUGGAAGGUCGUGUUCUAUGGUGUUUAGCGACUGAAGAUGAAGAAGAUGAAGUUUUUUUUAGUUUUUUUUUGGGAAUGUCAAGGAGAAGGAAAAAACCAAAAUCUGAUGGGGGUCUGUACCUUGUCCAAAAACGGCUACUGCAACUGUGUUCUCUAGGGCUGCGAUUGAAGAAGACGAAGUUAGGGGGUCCUCUAUUUCGGCGGAUCUGUCUCUUCAGGUCUAUAUAGGCGUUAGGUUUUUUGUCUUCAGUCCAAACGGUUGAUUCUAAUUCUCUAGGUUUAGGUUCUAAAGUCUUGUAUUGUUUUCAUGAAGAAGAAGGUGAAAAGGGUUGUGUUAUCGGCUGACGCUGUAAAGAAGAAAAGAGAAACGAUGGGGGGGUCUUUGAAAUGGAAGAUGGUUUGUCUGUAUAGGUUUUUCAGGCGUCCGUCUAGGGUCUCAAACUG